rnacentral:lncRNA from 1 species
CAAGGCUUCUACAGAGGUAUCACCGCGAACAUGCUGAAAAAUGUCCCUGCAGCUUCCAUUACGUUCAUCGUCUAUGAGAACGUACUAAACCUGCUAAAAUUGUCUAGGAGAGAGUAUUAGUUCUUUUUCAUCCUUUUACCUCCCGUUUUUGUUGUAGCAUUAGGAUUCUACACUAGUGAAAUUUUUUGGGGAAAGGUAUACUCAGAUUUGGGAGGAGUACAAAUAGAACAUCCUUUUACCUCCCGUUCUUGUUGUAGCAUUAGGAUACACUAGUGAAAUUUUUUGGGAAAAGGUAUACUCAGAUUUGGGAGGAGUACAAAUAGAUUCAUGAUACCACUUUACUGGCAGGCGCACUUGUAUAAUAUUUAGAGUCUUUGUA